AUUCUCUUCCAGUUCAUAAGCAUGAUGACUGGGUGUGCACAUGUGUGAUACGUGCCUCUCUUAAAUCUUGUUAUGCAUUACCCAUUACCAAUCUGAUA
rnacentral:snoRNA from 1 species